rnacentral:rRNA from 1 species
GAUGAACGCUGGCGGCGUGCCUAACACAUGCAAGUCGAGCGAAGCGCCUUACUUGAUUUCUUCGGGAUGAAAGUAUUGUGACUGAGCGGCGGACGGGUGAGUAACGCGUGAGCAACCUGCCCUUCGGAGGGGGAUAGUGUCUGGAAACGGACAGUAAUACCGCAUAACGUAUUUUUACCGCAUGAUAGAAAUACCAAAACUGAGGUGCCGAAGGAUGGGCUCGCGUUGGAUUAGAUAGUUGGUGGGGUAACGGCCCACCAAGGCGACGAUCAGUAGCCGGACUGAGAGGUUGGCCGGCCACAUUGGGACUGAGACACGGCCCAG